rnacentral:rRNA from 1 species
UAGGGAAUCUUCGGCAAUGGACGAAAGUCUGACCGAGCAACGCCGCGUGAGUGAAGAAGGUUUUCGGAUCGUAAAACUCUGUUGUUAGAGAAGAACAAGGACGUUAGUAACUGAACGUCCCCUGACGGUAUCUAACCAGAAAGCCACGGCUAACUACGUGCCAGCAGCCGCGGUAAUACGUAGGUGGCAAGCGUUGUCCGGAUUUAUUGGGCGUAAAGCGAGCGCAGGCGGUUUCUUAAGUCUGAUGUGAAAGCCCCCGGCUCAACCGGGGAGGGACUUUGGAAACGGAGAGCCUUGAGUGCAGAAGAGGAGAGGGAAAUUCGAUGUGUAGCGGUGAAAUGCGUAGAUAUAUGGAGGAACACAAGUGGCGAGGGCGGCUAUCUGGUCUGUAACUGACGCUGGGGCUCGAAAGCGUGGGGAGCAAACAGG